GUGCUUACUUUGGUAGCACAUAUACUAAAAUUGAAAUGAUAUGGAGAAGAUUAGCAUGGCCCCUGUGCAGGGAUGACGAGCAAAUUCGUGAAGCAUUCCAUAUUUUG